ACGAACGCUGGCGGCGUGCUUAACACAUGCAAGUCGAACGGAAAGGCCUGCUUUCCCUUGUGGAUUGCGGGUACUCGAGUGGCGAACGGGUGAGUAACACGUGAGUGAUCUGCCCCCAACUUGGGUAUAAGCCUGGGAAACUGGGUCUAAUUCCCGAUAGGACUGCAGGGUGGUGCCUGUGGUGGAAAACGAUUUUCUAGUGGUUGGGGAUGAGCUCGCGGCCUAUCAGCUUGUUGGUGGGGUAAUGGCCUACCAAGGCGGCGACGGGUAGCCGGCCUGAGAGGGUGGACGGCCACAUUGGGACGGAGAUACGGCCCAGACUCCUACGGGAGGCAGCAGUGGGGAAUAUUGCACAAUGGGCGGAAGCCUGAUGCAGCGACGCCGCGUGGGGGAUGACGGCCUUCGGGUUGUAAACUCCUUUCGACCGCGAGGAAGCCACCUGGUUGGAAGGGUGGUGACGGUAGUGGUAGAAGAAGCACCGGCUAACUACGUG
rnacentral:rRNA from 1 species